AGUGAACGCUGGCGGUAGGCCUAACACACGCUAGUCGAACGGCAGCACAGUAAGAGCUUGCUCUUACGGGUGGCGAGUGGCGGACGGGUGAGGAAUACAUCGGAAUCUACUUUUUCGUGGGGGAUAACGUAGGGAAACUUACGCUAAUACCGCAUACGACCUACGGGUGAAAGCAGGGGAUCUUCGGACCUUGCGCGAUUGAAUGAGCCGAUGUCGGAUUAGCUAGUUGGCGGGGUAAAGGCCCACCAAGGCGACGAUCCGUAGCUGGUCUGAGAGGAUGCUCAGUCACACUAGAACUGAGACACGGUCCAGACUCCUACGGGAGGCAGCAGUGGGGAAUAUUGGACAAUGGGCGCAAGCCUGAUCCAGCCAUACCGCGUGGGUGAAGAAGGCCUUCGGGUUGUAAAGCCCUUUUGUUGGGAAAGAAAAGCAGCAGGUUAAUACCCCGCUGUUCUGACGGUACCCAAAGAAUAAGCACCGGCUAACUUCGUG
rnacentral:rRNA from 1 species